CUCUGCAGUCUGCGCGGCAUUCGUGCUUGUUGGCGAAUAAACAAUUCAUAAUUAUUGGUUUAUUAAGUGUUUUUAUAAGUGCUCGGUGCUUUUUAUUGAUUGUUAGAUGUGCGCGGUUGAGUUAUUGAGUUAUUGCAUUAAGAUAACCAGACGCACGUCUCAAAUUUGAUAAUUGUGCGUAGCGCGUCUGUGUGUUGAGACGUCGAUCAGCUGUUUGCUUAUUCCGAUAUUCAAAGUGUAAAUAUCGAUAAAUAUUUUGCAAUUGUGUUCGCGCCUUGGCAAAUAAAUUUGCUUAUUAAAAAGAAAAAUUUAAAAUUGUGUUUGUGCACGGAACCAUAAAAGCUCGUGUUUUAAAUUACCCAGUCAAAUAAAUCGCAGCUGCGUGCUAAGUUCUCCGAUCGCCCAACUCUAUUUGUUACCAUAAAACACUCAAAUUACGAGCUCCUAGUGAAACCUUGGCCUGUCGAAUAUGGAAAUCGUUCA
rnacentral:misc_RNA from 1 species